AGUCGAGCGGAACGAUGGUAGCUUGCUCCCAGCGUCGAGCGGCGGACGGGUGAGUAACGCGUAGGAAUCUACCCAGUAGUGGGGGAUAGCCCGGGGAAACUCGGAUUAAUACCGCAUACGCCCUACGGGGGAAAGGCCGGGAUCUUCGGACCGGUCGCUAUUGGAUGAGCCUGCGUUGGAUUAUCUAGUGGGGAGGGUAAAGGCCUACCAAGGCGACAAUCCAUAGCUGGUCUGAGAGGAUGAUCACCCACUCUGGAACUGAAACACGGUCCACACUCCUAGGGGAGGCAGGAGGGGGAAUUUUUGGAAAAGGGGAGAAGGUCUGAUCCAAUCAUGCCGGGUGUGUGAAAAACGCUCUGGGGUUGAAAAGCUUUUUUCACAAGGAAAGAAAGGCC
rnacentral:rRNA from 1 species